rnacentral:lncRNA from 1 species
AAAAAAUUAAAAAGAAAAGAAUCAGGAAACGGAAAACACAAGUAAAAGGGGAGAAUUCAGGGGGCUUUCUUGCUUGCAGUCACCCUCGCCGGAAUCGGAGAAUUCUCGCCGGAGAUCUUAGAUCGGAAGAGAUGAGUUACUUGAACUGGGUUUGGAUGGCGGCGAGUGUAGCGGUGGUGCAGGGCCACAUCCACGGGGACCGGGGCACCAGGUGGAACGCGGGCAAGGGUCGGGUCGCCCCGCCCGGGCUCGUGCCGGCCGCCGGGUUCGGCUUCGGUGGCUUCCAGAUCGGCGACGGGAGCGGGGAGGAGCGCCGGAAGCAGGCGGACGACUCCCUCCACAAGGCCAUGUACAUAAGCUGCUGGGGCCCGAGCUAGACUCCCUCAGCCGGUCUAGGUGGGUUCUUUCACGGUUUGAGGACGAGGGAAAGAGGGACUCCGGCGGCCGGCCGGGAUCGGCGGCAUGCCGGAGAGGUGGCGAGGGUAUAGCGAAUUCUUAAGAGGGCAAAAGGCUAGCUAGAAGACGGUGUGAAUUGUAAAUAAUAGCUAGAAGACGGUGUGAAUUGUAAAUAAGCUUACUGUGUAAUUAUGCUUUCUGAUUACGAGAUAUCAUAAAGUGAUAAAUGGUGCUGAAUUUUGUUAUUUCUCCAGCUUUCGUUUGGUAUACUUCUUGCAUCAAAAUUGGACCGUCAUUACCGUGCUACAGUGCAUUCUUUGUAGAUAAGAGUCCAUUACGGAAUCGAACUCAUCAGUGUCUUUGUCUCAUCCAGGCCAUUAGCUCUCGUGGGGCAAGCUAAACUAAAAUGUUUCCAGCUUGUUUGCUUCUUCCACACCUGUUCUUUGCCCUGCUAGUGAGGGGAGCUGGCUCCUAGUUUAUACUCGCUGCAAACAUGCAACUGGUCUAACGAUGUACAUUGAAUGCUUCGAGAUGGAUCUCUGACAAGUGUUUUCAAGACUGGAUGGCAUUUAUACCUGGCGAAAACUUGUCUUGUGAUCGGCCACUGAAGCAGCCUCUUUUCGUGCUAGUUUGCACAAACAGCUUACUCUCUU